rnacentral:rRNA from 1 species
AUGAACGCUGGCGGCGUGCCUAAUACAUGCAGGUCGAGCGAACGGACGAGAAGCUUGCUUCUCUGAUGUUAGCGGCGGACGGGUGAGUAACACGUGGAUAACCUACCUAUAAGACUGGGAUAACUUCGGGAAACCGGAGCUAAUACCGGAUAAUAUUUUGAACCGCAUGGUUCCAAAGUGAAAGACGGUCUUGCUGUCACUUAUAGAUGGAUCCGCGCUGCAUUAGCUAGUUGGUAAGGUAUCGGCUUACCAAGGCAACGAUGCAUAGCCGACCUGAGAGGGUGAUCGGCCACACUGGAACUGAGACACGGUCCAGACUCCUACGGGAGGCAGCAGUAGGGAAUCUUCCGCAAUGGGCGAAAGCCUGACGGAGCAACGCCGCGUGAGUGAUGAAGGUCUUCGGAUCGUAAAACUCUGUUAUUAGGGAAGAACAUAUGUGUAAGUAACUGUGCACAUCUUGACGGUACCUAAUCAGAAAGCCACGGCUAACUACGUG